AUUACUAUUUCCAGUGAUGCUUCUAUUCUUUCAGGGUUCUUUCCCUCAGAUCAGUAAAGGAAAUUUCAUGUUCAAUGAAAAGCCUCAGAAGGAUCUUCAAUCAUUCUUACAAGCACUCAGUGAUGAGAAACGCCAAAUGGAACUUGUGACAAGAUCUUUGUCAGGAUUGAGCUCCUCUAUUGGACCCUCUGAACAUGAGUACUCUGCUGCUGGCGCCUCUUCCUCAGACAAAUAUUUUGAUGAAUGACAUUUCUCUGUCAUGGACUGUGUCAUGUACAUGUAUUAUCAUUUGCAAUUAUACAUGUGUGUGCAUUGAUGUAAAAAGCAUUAUGAUGUCACUGAUGUCUGCACAAUACGCUGCCAUAGUAACUGGUGAUGCCGAAUGAAAGCCUUGGAAUUUCUAACUAAAUAUACCACCUUGGACUUGAUUAUUUAGUGUAUGUGUUGGUGACAUUGUGCCAAGUAAUCCAUACAAACAUAUAACAGAAUAUCCUAACCAUCUAGAUGGUAUAACUGGUUUCAUUCUACUCUAAUGAAAAGAACCAUCUUAUUGGUCUCCCUGACAGUCACUAGAUCCUACAAUAGUGUGUACAUGUACAUAUAACAGAGUAUCCCAACCAUCUAGAUGGUAUAACUGGUUUCAUUCUUCUCUAAUGAAUAGAACCAUCUUAUUGGUCUCCAUGACAGUCACUAGAUCCUACAAUAGUGUGUACAUGUACAUAUAACAGAGUAUCCCAAUCAUCUAGAUGGUACAUGUAUAACUGGUUUCAUUCUACUCUAAUGAAUAGAACCAUCUUAUUGGUCUCCAUGACAGUCACUAGAUCCUACAAUGGUGUGUUCAUGUACAUAUAACAGACUAUCCCAACCAUCUAGAUGGUAUAACUGGUUUCAUGCUACUCUAAUGAAUAGAACCAUCUUAUUGGUCUCUAUGACAGUCACUAGAUCCUACAAUAGUGUGUACAUGUACAUAUAACAGAGUAUCCCAACCAUCUAGAUGGUAUAACUGGUUUCAUUCUACUCUAAUGAUUAGAACCAUCUUAUUGGUCUCUAUGACAGUCACUAGAUCCUACAAUAGUGUGUACAUGUACAUAUAACAGACUAUCCCAACCAUCUAGAUGGUAUAACUGGUUUCAUUCUACUCUAAUGAAUAGAACCAUCUUAUUGGUCUCCAUGACAGUCACUAGAUCCUACAAUGGUGUGUACAUGUACAUAUAACAGACUAUCCCAACCAUCUAGAUGGUAUAACUGGUUUCAUUCUACUCUAAUGAAUAGAACCAUCUUAUUGGUCUCCAUGACAGUUACUAGAUCCUACAAUAGUGUGUACAUGUACAUAUAACAGAGUAUCCCAACCAUCUAGAUGGUAUAACUGGUUUCAUUCUACUCUAAUGAAUAGAACCAUCUUAUUGGUCUCUAUGACAGUCACUAGAUCCUACAAUGGUGUGUUCAUGUACAUAUUACAGAGUAUCCCAACCAUCUAGAUGGUAUAACUGGUUUCAUUCUACUCUAAUGAAUAGAACCAUCUUAUUGGUCUCCAUGACAGUCACUAGAUCCUACAAUGGUGUGUUCAUGUACAUAUAACAGACUAUCCCAACCAUCUAGAUGGUAUAACUGGUUUCAUUCUUCUCUAAUGAAAAGAACCAUCUUAUUGGUCUCCAUGACAGUCACUAGAUCCUACAAUAGUGUGUACAUGUACAUAUAACAGACUAUCCCAACCAUCUAGAUGGUAUAACUGGUUUCAUUCUACUCUAAUGAAUAGAACCAUCUUAUUGGUCUCCAUGACAGUCACUAGAUCCUACAAUAGUGUGUACAUGUACAUAUAACAGACUAUCCCAACCAUCUAGAUGGUAUAACUGGUUUCAUUCUACUCUAAUGAUUAGAACCAUCUUAUUGGUCUCCAUGACAGUCACUAGAUCCUACAAUAGUGUGUACAUGUACAUAUAACAGAGUAUCCCAACCAUCUAGAUGGUAUAACUGGUUUCAUUCUACUCUAAUGAAUAGAACCAUCUUAUUGGUCUCCAUGACAGUCACUAGAUCCUACAAUAGUGUGUACAUGUACAUAUAACAGACUAUCCCAACCAUCUAGAUGGUAUAACUGGUUUUAUUCUACUCUAAUGAAUAGAACCAUCUUAUCGGUCUCUAUGACAGUCACUAGAUCCUACAAUGGUGUGUACAUGUACAUAUAACAGAGUAUCCCAAUCAUCUAGAUGGUAUAACUGGUUUCAUUCUACUCUAAUGAAUAGAACCAUCUUAUUGGUCUCCAUGACAGUCACUAGAUCCUACAAUGGUGUGUACAUGUACAUAUAACAGAGUAUCCCAACCAUCUAGAUGGUAUAACUGGUUACAUUCUACUCUAAUGAAUAGAACCAUCUUAUUGGUCUCUCUGACAGUCACUAGAUCCUACAAUGGUUUGUACAUGUACAUAUAACAGACUAUCCCAACCAUCUAGAUGGUAUAACUGGUUACAUUCUACUCUAAUGAAUAGAACCAUCUUAUUGGUCUCCAUGACAGUCACUAGAUCCUACAAUAGUGUGUACAUGUACAUAUAACAGAGUAUCCAAACCAUCUAGAUGGUAUAACUGGUUUCAUUCUACUCUAAUGAAAAGAACCAUCUUAUUGGUCUCCAUGACAGUCACUAGAUCCUACAAUAGUGUGUUCAUGUACAUAUAACAGACUAUCCCAACCAUCUAGAUGGUAUAACUGGUUUCAUUCUACUCUAAUGAAAAGAACCAUCUUAUUGGUCUCCAUGACAGUCACUAGAUCCUACAAUAGUGUGUACAUGUACAUAUAACAGACUAUCCCAACCAUCUAGAUGGUAUAACUGGUUUCAUUCUUCUCUAAUGAAUAGAACCAUCUUAUUGGUCUCCAUGACAGUCACUAGAUCCUACAAUAGUGUGUACAUGUACAUAUAACAGAGUAUCCAAACCAUCUAGAUGGUAUAACUGGUUUCAUUCUACUCUAAUGAAAAGAACCAUCUUAUUGGUCUCCAUGACAGUCACUAGAUCCUACAAUAGUGUGUUCAUGUACAUAUAACAGACUAUCCCAACCAUCUAGAUGGUAUAACUGGUUUCAUUCUACUCUAAUGAAUAGAACCAUCUUAUUGGUCUCCAUGACAGUCACUAGAUCCUACAAUAGUGUGUACAUGUACAUAUAACAGAGUAUCCCAACCAUCUAGAUGGUAUAACUGGUUUCAUUCUUCUCUAAUGAAUAGAACCAUCUUAUUGGUCUCCAUGACAGUCACUAGAUCCUACAAUAGUGUGUACAUGUACAUAUAACAGAGUAUCCAAACCAUCUAGAUGGUAUAACUGGUUUCAUUCUACUCUAAUGAAUAGAACCAUCUUAUUGGUCUCCAUGACAGUCACUAGAUCCUACAAUGGUGUGUACAUGUACAUAUAACAGAGUAUCCCAACCAUCUAGAUGGUAUAACUGGUUACAUUCUACUCUAAUGAAUAGAACCAUCUUAUUGGUCUCUCUGACAGUCACUAGAUCCUACAAUGGUUUGUACAUGUACAUAUAACAGACUAUCCCAACCAUCUAGAUGGUAUAACUGGUUACAUUCUACUCUAAUGAAUAGAACCAUCUUAUUGGUCUCCAUGACAGUCACUAGAUCCUACAAUAGUGUGUACAUGUACAUAUAACAGACUAUCCCAACCAUCUAGAUGGUAUAACUGGUUUCAUUCUUCUCUAAUGAAUAGAACCAUCUUAUUGGUCUCCAUGACAGUCACUAGAUCCUACAAUAGUGUGUACAUGUACAUAUAACAGAGUAUCCAAACCAUCUAGAUGGUAUAACUGGUUUCAUUCUACUCUAAUGAAAAGAACCAUCUUAUUGGUCUCCAUGACAGUCACUAGAUCCUACAAUAGUGUGUACAUGUACAUAUAACAGAGUAUCCCAACCAUCUAGAUGGUAUAACUGGUUUCAUUCUACUCUAAUGAAUAGAACCAUCUUAUUGGUCUCCAUGACAGUCACUAGAUCCUACAAUAGUGUGUACAUGUACAUAUAACAGAGUAUCCCAACCAUCUAGAUGGUAUAACUGGUUUCAUUCUUCUCUAAUGAAUAGAACCAUCUUAUUGGUCUCCAUGACAGUCACUAGAUCCUACAAUAGUGUGUACAUGUACAUAUAACAGAGUAUCCCAACCAUCUAGAUGGUAUAACUGGUUUCAUUCUUCUCUAAUGAAUAGAACCAUCUUAUUGGUCUCCAUGACAGUCACUAGAUCCUACAAUAGUGUGUACAUGUACAUAUAACAGAGUAUCCCAACCAUCUAGAUGGUAUAACUGGUUUCAUUCUACUCUAAUGAAUAGAACCAUCUUAUUGGUCUCCAUGACAGUCACUAGAUCCUACAAUAGUGUGUACAUGUACAUAUAACAGAGUAUCCCAACCAUCUAGAUGGUAUAACUGGUUUCAUUCUUCUCUAAUGAAUAGAACCAUCUUAUUGGUCUCUAUGACAGUCACUAGAUCCUACAAUGGUGUGUUCAUGUACAUAUAACAGACUAUCCCAACCAUCUAGAUGGUAUAACUGGUUUCAUUCUACUCUAAUGAAUAGAACCAUCUUAUUGGUCUCCAUGACAGUCACUAGAUCCUACAAUAGUGUGUACAUGUACAUAUAACAGAGUAUCCCAACCACCUAGAUGGUAUAACUGGUUUCAUUCUACUCUAAUGAAUAGAACCAUCUUAUUGGUCUCCAUGACAGUCACUAGAUCCUAUAAUAGUGUGUACAUGUACAUAUAACAGAGUAUCCCAAUCAUCUAGAUGGUAUAACUGGUUUCAUUCUACUCUAAUUAAUAGAACCAUCUUAUUGGUCUCCAUGACAGUCACUAGAUCCUACAAUGGUGUGUACAUGAACCCAUUUCAGUUUUAUCCCUGGAACAUUAUUUUAAUCAUAAAAUUACUGUGAGCUCUUUCUAUCCCAGAAUGUUUUGCAAUGAAUUUAUAAUGUGAAAUGCUUUCAAACUGAUAUUGAAACAUUUUUGGGGGUUAAUAUGAUAGCUAAUGAUAUCAUGUGAUGCAUUUUUAAGAGACUCAACUUUUCAGCAUAGAAGAUUAUGCAGUUGUCACCCGUCGAUGCUAAUUUUCAUCUAUGACCAAGCACAUGAUUUAAAAAAACAUGAAUUCACCUUGUUAUUUUUAUGCAAUUAUAAAGAUUUUAAGUAUUUUUCAAAGCUAUUCCAAAUAUUUUUACAUUAUUAUUAUUAACCAAAACCCAUGUUUAAUUUGUCAAAAUUACAUCAGUUUUAUGCACUAUCAAGCCAAACUCUUUUAGAGGUAAAACUGUAUAAUAUUUCUUAGAAUCUUGUUGCUAUGUUAUUUGAGAUCGAAGAUCCAACAACUACAUGUAUACUGUAGAAAAUGAGAAAGACCUUCCUUUAAUUAUGCUUUGUAUAUCAUAAAAGAGAAAGUCACAAUUUCAAUUCUAUUAUGUUCAUCAUAAAGGAGAAAUUCACAUUUUCAAUUUUGUUAUGUUCAUCAUAAAGGAAAAAGUCACUCCUUCAAUUCUAUUAUGUUUAUCAUAAAGGAGAAAGUCACUCCUUCAAUUCUAUUAUGUUUAUCAUAAAGGAGAAAGUCACUCCUUCAAUUCUAUUAUGUUUAUCAUAAAGAGGAAAGUCACUCCUUCAAUUCUAUUAUGUUUAUCAUAAGGAGAAAGUCACUCCUUUAAUUUUAUUAUGUUUAUCAUAAAGGAGAAAGUCACUCCUUCAAUUCUAUUAUGUUUAUCAUAAAGAAUAAAGUCACUCCUUUAAUUCUAUUAUGUUCAUCAUAAAGGAGAAAGUCACUCCUUCAAUUCUAUUAUGUUUAUCAUAAAGGAGAAAGUCACUCCUUCAAUUCUAUUAUGUUUAUCAUAAAGGAGAAAGUCACUCCUUUAAUUCUAUUAUGUUUAUCAUAAAGAAGAAAGUCACUCCUUCAAUUCUAUUAUGUUUAUCAUAAAGGAGAAAGUCACUCCUUCAAUUCUAUUUUAUCAUAAGGAGAAAGUCUUUCUUUUAAAUGGAGGGAAUGUUAUAUUCUUAUCAUCUGGUUUAACAAAUCUUGCCUAUUUCAAAAUUAAAAUUUAAGCCUUUAUGUUAUUUUCACAAAAAUGUUGUGAUUAUCAUGCAUGUACAUGUAGCUAUAUUAGAUAAUCAUGUUGAAACUGGAUGAGGAACAUUCCAUUCAUGAUUUAAUCACGGUUUUUAAACCACUUUUGUUUGUUUGAUGUUAUCAAUUUUAUAGACAUGAAAUCAAUUUAAUAUGAACUUUGAAACCAAGUUGCAAUCUUUCAGAUUGAAAGGCAGUUCUUUUCACACAAAUAAAUGACCUACCAAUAUAAUAUUUGAUUCUCUUCAUAAUAAUAUGCAUAUUCAAUGACAACAUACAAUAUAUUACUUGUUUUCUGAUGCGCACAUACUCUGAGUUACUCAUCCAUUCUCAAUUCAAUGUUUAUAUCUAACUUGUAAUAAUGAUAAAGCAAAAUGAAAAGAUACCAUUUGAUUAUGAUAAAGAUAAAAAUUCUUCAUCUUUUAGAAGUGAUUCAAAUCAAACUACUAUUUUUUUUUCAAUUUUAGAAGAACAGAGGGGCGGGGCAAUUUCAAAAUCAUACAAAAUUGAUUAUACAAUAUAGAUACACAAGCUCACAAUAGAUUACAUUGAGUAUGAUUACCCCUUGGAUGAAAAUAAUCUUGUUGAUUUUCAUCUGUAGCCAUGGUAUCAGAAUGAUUUAUCUUUAAAAAAGAGACCAAUAAUCAGCUUCAAGUGUUUCAUUAUAUUUCAUCUUGUUCUUUCCAUUGUAAGAAAAAGCAAUGUGGAAUUAUUUUAAGCUACAAGUACAUGUCCACAGUGUAUGUGAAGUCUUUCAAUUUUAAUAAUGUAUAGAGUCAUAAAUAAUACAUGUUUAUAUAUAAUGUAAAUUAGUAGUGUAAAGUUUAGAAGACAGUUUUGUCUAUAAUAAACAUGAAAUUUGGUUAACUUCAGGAAUUUUCAUGGGUACAUUGUUAACUGUUUAUAUCUAACUAUUUUUCCAUUCCUGUAUGUCAUUUGCUUUAAAAGUUCAAUGCCUUUUAAUGUUUAUUUAUUAUCACAUCUCCCAUGAAUUACUCAUCCUUCAGAUGUAAGAUGUUUGAUAAUUUAUUGUAUCCAUCCAUCCUGUAUAGACCAAUAUAUGGUUUAGGAGGAUUUUAAUGGUAAUUUGAAAUGUUGUGUAUCAAAAUGACUAGGUAUUGACUUUUAUCAAAUUUGUGAAUCAGAAAAUCCCCAAUAUGUUACGUCUUGAAUAUGAAUCAAAAUUUAAACUGUUUUGUCUUAGGAUAAUUGAUUAAAAGGAUGGCUCCUGUCAGAAUAUUGUGAAGUGGUACACCUGUAUUUUGGACACAGUGGUAUUACUAAUUAUGUGUUGUUAAUACAUGUAGUAGAAUUUGUGUAUCAAAUUAGUAGUAGUGUCAAAUUUGUGUAUCAAAAAUGCCCAAAUCCCAUUUAAUUGAGAAGUUGAUUAAUGAGUAGAAAGGAUUACUUCUGUCUGAUUAUUGUGAAGUGGUACGUAAUGGCGCUCUAUGAAGGUAUUUGGGCAAGGAAACAAGCUAAAAAUGUAAAAGAUAUCUCCAAAUCAAUCUUCCUAUAGCUAAAGUCUGUGCGUUUUUCACGAUUGAAGUCUACGUUUUAUUCAUAUAACUAUUUCCAAAUCUGCGCAAAUAAUUUUUCACCAAUUUUUCAAAAGUGAGUGGUGCUCACUCAAGCGGAACAAUUGUUUGACAGUUACGGAGGCGCGAUAGCUCAGUCGGUAGAGCGGGGGUUUCGGAUUCCGGUGACCCGGGUUCGAUUCCCAAGUGAUGCGCUAGUGCCCUUUUGUAAGGCAUUUAUCCUCAUUACCAGGUCCCUCGGAGAGGACCUUAAGCCGUCGGUCCCCUGGUUGCUUGCUCACAGGCAUUCGUGCUUUCUUAGCAGUCAGGUAAAAACCUCGGUAUGUAUGUAUAUCAUCAUUGGCUUAAAGAGAUCUGUACCAAUGUUAAAAUGUGGAAAAAUCUUCAAGAUAUUACAAAUGUAUAAUUUUACAGGAUUUUUUCUGAGUGUAAACUUUUUUUAUAUGAACUGUAUACAUGUAUGUCAUUUGCUUUAAAGCCAAGGCCUUCAUGUUAAUUUCUUAUGACAUUUCUCAUGAAUUACAUAUUCUCCCGAUGUAAGAUGUGUGAUAAUUUAUUUUGUAUCCACCUGUAGAGGCCAUUGUGAUGUCACUGGUUUUGAAUUGUCAUUUCUGCCUGAAAUAGUUCUUGACUAUUGUCAAAUGUGUGUAUCACACAAUCCACUUCAUUAUGUAGAAAGGCUGACUUCUGUCAAAUUUAUUGUGAAGUUGUACACCUGUACUUUUGACACAAUGGAGUUACUUAUAAUGCAUUCUAAAUGCAAAUAGAAGAGUUUAUCGUUUUAAUUGCAUGAAUCAUUAAAACAUUAAAACAUGUAAUAUGUCAUUCAUAUUGCUAAAGAUAUGAAUUAAUAUUAUACACAGUAUCAUGGUACAGUAAAACCUGUAUAUAUAUAUCAAACAAUAGAGAGAAGCAGUCUUUAUAAUGGGAUAGUCUUUACGAUCAUGGUCUAGUAAUACAUGUUUCAAUGAUAUACAAGGAUACACACUUAUUAUCAGGGAUGGUGCCUCAAACGGUAGCUCCACCAUAUUUUUUCAAGCACUAGUAAACCAAGAUAGAGAAAAGGAUGGAGUAAAGAGAAUAAAAGAAAUAAGUGUAUCACCAGCAGAGGUUUCAGCUGUGUAGCUCAAUAAUAAACCCUAAAAUACAAAUGAUUAAAAUAUGCCAUCUUUCAGUUUUUAUGUCCAUAUUGUUACUUUUGGUGUAAAUUUUUUACACGUAUUGAUUUGAUAUUUAUUAUGGAUUCAGUUUAUAGAAGCAAUUGUGCUCAAUUUGACCCCUCCACAAGUGUAAUCCCUAUUUAAUGUAAAUUAUUUUGUAUAUUUAUAUAUUUUUUAAUUGUAGUAAUGAAGUUGAAUUUUAAUUUCAAUCAUCUUCUUAUAUAGAGUCAAUAAGAUGUUGUAGACAGAUGGUCUCUAAAGCAGCUUUGACUGUAAAUACAAAUGUUCCAAUAAUAGUGACUUGUGAAUACUGAAUGCAAUUGUUGUGGAACUUUUAUACACAUGGGAAUGAAUUUUAGAAUAAAUAUUACUCUAUUUUUUCAUGUA